rnacentral:rRNA from 1 species
GACGAACGCUGGCGGCGUGCUUAACACAUGCAAGUCGAACGGAAAGGCCCUGCUUGCCGGGUACUCGAGUGGCGUACGGGUGAGUAACACGUGGGUGAUCUGCCCUGCACUUCGGGAUAAGCCUGGGAAACUGGGUCUAAUACCGGAUAGGAGCCAUUUUUAGUGUGAUGGUUGGAAAGUUUUUUCGGUGUAGGAUGAGCUCGCGGCCUAUCAGCUUGUUGGUGGGGUAAUGGCCUACCAAGGCGGCGACGGGUAGCCGGCCUGAGAGGGUGGACGGCCACAUUGGGACUGAGAUACGGCCCAGACUCCUACGGGAGGCAGCAGUGGGGAAUAUUGCACAAUGGGCGCAAGCCUGAUGCAGCGACGCCGCGUGGGGGAUGACGGCCUUCGGGUUGUAAACUCCUUUCGCUAGGGACGAAGCUUUUUGUGACGGUACCUAGAGAAGAAGCACCGGCUAACUACGUG